CGUGAAGUUGGAAUCGCUAGUAAUCGCGGAUCAGCAUGCCGCGGUGAAUACGUUCCCGGGCCUUGUACACACCGCCCGUCACACCAUGAGAGUCGGGAACACCCGAAGUCCGUAGUCUAACCGCAAGGGGACGCGGCCGAAGGUGGGUUCGAUAAUUGGGGUGAAGUCGUAACAAGGUACC
rnacentral:rRNA from 1 species